rnacentral:piRNA from 1 species
UCUUGGUGACGACUUAAAUCUGGGUUC